UCCUACGGGAGGCAGCAGUGGGGAAUAUUGCACAAUGGGCGCAAGCCUGAUGCAGCAACGCCGCGUGAGGGACGAAGGCCUUCGGGUUGUAAACCUCUUUUAGUAGGGAAGAAGCGACUGGGUUUUCCUGGGAGUGACGGUACCUGCAGAAAAAGCACCGGCUAACUACGUGCCAGCAGCCGCGGUAAUACGUAGGGUGCAAGCGUUGUCCGGAAUUAUUGGGCGUAAAGAGCUCGUAGGCGGUUUGUCGCGUCUGCUGUGAAAACCCGAGGCUCAACCUCGGGCCUGCAGUGGGUACGGGCAGACUAGAGUGCGGUAGGGGAGAUUGGAAUUCCUGGUGUAGCGGUGGAAUGCGCAGAUAUCAGGAGGAACACCAAUGGCGAAGGCAGAUCUCUGGGCCGUAACUGACGCUGAGGAGCGAAAGCAUGGGGAGCGAACAGGAUUAGAUACCCUGGUAGUCCAUGCCGUAAACGUUGGGAACUAGAUGUGGGGACCAUUCCACGGUCUCCGUGUCGCAGCUAACGCAUUAAGUUCCCCGCCUGGGGAGUACGGCCGCAAGGCUAAAACUCAAAGGAAUUGACGGGGGCCCGCACAAGCGGGCGGAGCAUGCGGAUUAAUUCGAUGCAACGCGAAGAACCUUACCAAGGCUUGACAUAUACCGGAAACGGCUGGAAACAGUCGCCCCGCAAGGUCGGUAUACAGGUGGUGCAUGGUUGUCGUCAGCUCGUGUCGUGAGAUGUUGGGUUAAGUCCCGCAACGAGCGCAACCCUCGUCCUAUGUUGCCAGCACGUAAUGGUGGGAACUCAUGGGAUACUGCCGGGGUCAACUCGGAGGAAGGCGGGGAUGACGUCAAAUCAUUAUGCCCCUUAUGUCUUGGGCUUCACGCAUGCUACAAUGGCCGGUACAAAGGGCUGCGAUACCGCAAGGUGGAGCGAAUCCCAAAAAGCCGGUCUCAGUUCGGAUUGAGGUCUGCAACUCGACCUCAUGAAGUCGGAGUCGCUAGUAAUCGCAGAUCAGCAACGCUGCGGUGAAUACGUUCCCGGGCCUUGUACACACAUCCAUAUGA
rnacentral:rRNA from 1 species